AGGCUGCGGGCAGCCCCACAGCCCAGCGCUCAACCGCUGCGCCAACAGGGGAGGCCCUAGUUUGUUUUAUUAUUCUCCCAAGAUGAGAAAAGAUCCUGGACUCCAGUGACUUUGGUAUCUACUUCACAGAGGAAGACACAUUUGUGAGUUUCAUUGAGCAAAAACACACAAUUCAAGACCCAUCUGAAUGGUUUCCUUAGCUUCUGUUAAUCUCUUAAGCAAGACUAUCACCAAAGCAAAUGUUUCAUCAAAAGAUGGCACACUGAAUUAGGACCUGCGAUCCAGCAGUCAUUUUGCAUAAAGCCGGAUUCCAGUGUGACAGGCGCUACGGAUCACCACACUUCCGAUGGUAAAUAUUCUGCUAGAAGGACCUAAUCUUUUAAAUUUGGAGACCUGAAGAAAACAAACAACACUGAAAUAAGUGUCCAUGUGUAUUGUGCAAGAACUGAAAUCCAGGUAGCUCUGCUGUUAUUACAGAAUUUGAAGAAAUAAACAACAAAGAGAGAUGUGAUCACGAGCUCCAGAAAUAAUGGUUUCCACAAGAGAAACAACCGUGGAAGAAAAUUAUCCUCUUUGCUAACAAUACGGUGAUCAGCCUCACUUGCUUGCUCCUGAUGAUGAGGUGAUGUCACUGGUCAGAAGCGCUGGCCUAUUUUCUGUUCUGCCUAUGGUGGGUUGGAUUGGAUGAAAAUAAACAUCUUACAUAACAGGCCGGCU